rnacentral:rRNA from 1 species
GACGAACGCUGGCGGCGUGCUUAACACAUGCAAGUCGAACGGAAAGGCCCUGCUUUUGUGGGGUGCUCGAGUGGCGAACGGGUGAGUAACACGUGAGUAACCUGCCCUUGACUUUGGGAUAACUUCAGGAAACUGGGGCUAAUACCGGAUAGGAGCUCCUGCUGCAUGGUGGGGGUUGUAAAGUUUCGGCGGUUGGGGAUGGACUCGCGGCUUAUCAGCUUGUUGGUUGGGUAGUGGCUUACCAAGGCUUUGACGGGUAGCCGGCCUGAGAGGGUGACCGGCCACAUUGGGACUGAGAUACGGCCCAGACUCCUACGGGAGGCAGCAGUGGGGAAUAUUGCACACUGGGCGGAAGCCUGAUGCAGCAACGCCGCGUGCGGGAUGACGGUCUUCGGGUUGUAAACCGCUUUCGCCUGUGACGAAGCGUGAGUGACGGUAAUGGGUAAAGAAGCACCGGCUAACUACGUG